rnacentral:lncRNA from 9 species
GAGCACCCCUACCGUCCUGCUGGAAGUCGGGGCUGGGCUGUCAGGUCUCCAAGUCCCGCGCAGAGCCGGCGGGAUGGAGCCGCCAAACCACGCGGAGUCGGGGAGCAUGGAGAGAAUCCCCUAACUCCUCCUCCGUGGGGCUUCCCGCGUGGAUUCCCACCCAGUCUCGGUUUGCCGGGGGAGAAGGUGGAGGUGGAGAAAGGGGAGGAGAGGUGGUCUGCCCACGGCCACCAGUGCUCAGGACCUGCGGGCCGAUGGCCAGUGUGGGCGGUGACACCCUUCCCUCGAUGUGGGAGUCACGCCCCACCGUCCCUCCUGCACGCUGGGACAUCUCACUGCGGACGAGGAAACUGAGGCCGGGGGAAGGGGGAUCUCCGGCGCGGAUGCCGGCUGGAAGGCUCCAUCCAGUCCACGCGACCCACCGAGCCGAGGGCUGCUCGCACUCCCGCACAGGCGGCGGAGCUGCCUCGUCGACCCGAAACCGCGGCCAGAAGAUGUCUCCACGGUUGCCUGAGCCCGGGGUCGCAGCCAGGGUUUGGCUUCCAGACCCCCAGGGGAUCCUUCAGCCAGCCCUGGCCGCCCCCGCCGCCUCCCUAGAAACGUGCUUUGGCCGCAAGAGGGCGACAAAGCCCAGACUGCGCGAGUAGACGCGGCGGGUCUCUGGACGUUCCCGGGGCUCCGCGGUGACCGGGUAACAAAGAGCCUGAGCCAGGGCCACUCCAGGGCUCGGUCCAUCAGCAGGCUGUCCAUCACGGGUGAGAUCAUCUGGUACCUGCACGUGACCACCCCACAGACUCUAAGCCGCUUUGACCCGACUUCCUCCUUUCCGACAUCGGUUUCCCUGGUUUCCCCGUCUGUCAGCUGUGGGUUCCAGGAAGAGCUGGGGAGUGGGGCGGCUGCUUCUUCAAGACCGCUCAGAGGCCCCUCCUCCUUGCCACCUUCCCUGUUCCUCCCACUUGGACUGGCAUCUCUGCUUCACACCAGGCACCUCCAGGGUGCACUGGGUGGAGUUCAGGAGGCCAGCUGACCUUCAGCACUAGGCUGCCAGAGUGGGCAGUGAGCCACACCAAGCAAGCUGGCUGUCACAGGCCUGGCUGCAGCUGAUACCAAUGGGACCCCAGCAGUUCAACAGGGACUUCCUCCCUCCCAGCCUCCAUUUGCUCAUCUGUACAGGCUCUGUGCCCUCAGGUCCCAGGCACAUGCUGCCUUCAAAAUAAAAUACAUUUUAAACUGAGGGCAUGGGGCCCUAACAGAGUCCUAACAGAAGCUUAAUGUGGGAAUCUCAGUUCCCAGACCAGGGAUUGAACCCAGGCUGAAGAGGCAAGACUGUCCAGUCCUCACCACUAGGCCUGUCAGGUUUCGGGGUUGUCACUGGGGGCUCCUGAGAGUCUCUCGUGGUGUGGGAGGCAGUGAAGAAGAAAGCCAGCUCAGUGGGUGGGUGCUGUUUUGCCUAUGGGCCCUGGGAGAGCCUGCAUAGAGGGAGGAGUCAGGGUCCCCUGGGUGUUCCUAGACCCAGGAUCCCUGGGCUCCUUGUUCUGCAGCAGGCAGGGUCCCGAGGCCAGUGAGGUGGCCUGGGAAGCAGACUCAUCGUCACCUUGCCAAGGGACCACAGGUCCCCCUCCUGCCAAGGUCCUCAGCCCAGGAGAGGCAAAGCGGCCUGAACGGCAGGUCUGCAGCUGUGCUGCUCAGGACAGAUGGCUAAGUAGCUGUGACAGUCCAGCACACUACCUGCCCAGGUCACCUAGGCCCCUGGGACAUGCAAAGCCCAGGGCUUCACUUCAUAAGUACUUGGAGGUGGCUGGGGUUGGAACAGUGAAACUGGUGCCUCCAGGACCUGGUAAUGAAGGCCCAGUCCUGCUGGGUCUCAGUCCCUAACUGAUGACACCCCUUGGCCCUGAGAAGGGACAUGUGCAUGGGACCCAGCCACUGCUCCCUGCACAUUUCACCCCCACCCUGGGCUCCCAGCCUCCAAGGAAUGUACUUCUGCACCUGCAAACCGGCUCCUGUCUUAGCAGCCCCAUCAGCCCCAUGGAAGGGGAGAGAAAGGCACCCCUCUCACAAUGACAGCCCCUCCCCACUAGCCCCAGCCCAACCCUAAGUGGAGGGCCAGCCAGUGCCUGUGCUGAGGGCCUGGAGGCAGGAAUGCCUCCCCCUCCCCAAGAACAAGACACCCGACCCCCUUGCUGGCUCCUUCAAGCCUGGUAGGUGCAGUCGCCCAUGCCUGUGUCCAAGGCCUGGCCCCUGCCCCACAGCUGCACCUCCACCAGGAUGGGAUCUGCUCCGCUGGGCUCAGCUCCAAUGGGAUCAUCAACCCUGUGGCUAACCCACAUCCUGCCACUUCUGGCCCCCCAGGCUCCACCCUGCCUAUGCCUCCAGUAUUCCCUGCAUCCUCCCCCUGCUCACUGAUUCCUCUGGCAGGCUGCCCUCCCAGCAGCCACAAGGAUCUUCUUUUCUUCUUCUCCUCUUUUUUUUUUUUUUUCCCUUUCUUUUUGCGGGCCCUGCAGUAUAUGGAGUUCCAAGGCUAGGGAUCAGAUCUGAGCCACAGUUGCAACCUAUGCAGCAGCUGUGGCAACGCUGGAUACUUAACCCACUCACUGUGCCCAGCCUGGGAUCGAACCUGAGUCUCAUCACUCCCAAGAUGUGCACCACAGCAGGAACUCCCAAAGAACUGCUUCUUUUUUUGUUUUUAGGGCCGCACUUGCGGCAUAUGGAAGUUCCCAGGCUAGGGGUCCAAUCAGAGCUACAGCUGCCGGCCUACACCACAGCCACAGCAACGCAGGAUCGAGCUGCAUCUAAGAUCUACACCACAGCUCACAGCAACGCCAGACCCUUAACCCACUGAGGCCAGAGAUCAAACCUGCAAUUUCAUGGUUCCUAGUCGGAUUCAUUUCCGCUGCCUCAGAACAGGAACUCCCCAAGGAUCUUCUUAUAGUGACAAGCAUCACCUCUUCACAGAGUUUUCCAGAUCACUUCAUGUAGCAUGGGGCCCACUAUCCAACGCUCCAGCCUCCACUUGGCUGUUAUUUCCAUCAGCACCCUGCCCAGCAAACACUGGCUCUUAUUUAGCAUAAGCUCUUGGGUGCCUGUCUUCUUGGCUACACCAGGAGGGAGAGCAUCUUCUGUUGGCCACUUUUUCCAGCAUCCAGAACAAUGCCUGGCAGCUGGUGUUCAAUAAAUGAUUGACUUUAUUCAUUAAAAU